AAUGUACAUAACUUGAACUAGCAUAGUAAAUAGUAGGAUAGAUAAUAUGCUUUUUUUCAUAAAAAUAAAAAGAAUUACUUUUGAUCUAUGGCCAAUUUAAUCUGAUUUUGCUUUAUUUUAUCUUGUCUCUAUUUAUUUAUGAAUCUACUAACUGUAUGAAAUUCUUCCAGGUCAGAUCUAUUUCCACGUGAAUUUGUGGAUGAGCUCGCGAAAUUGCAGCUGAUAGCAGAAUAUUUCCUGAGAAAUGAAACUUUUGGGGGUCCACUUAGAGAUUGGAUUGGAAUAUAUGAAGAGUGUGCAACUAUUUUGUAUCAAGAAAUUGACUAUAUAAAUGAAGGACAGAAUGCUGACAGAUUCCGACGAGAUUUUAGAAACAUAAAUUGGUAUAUUGGGAUUAUAUUGCCUUAAAGGUGUUGACCAUGGAGUAUGUUCCAGGUUUUCCUCUUCACUUAUGCCUAUGAACUUUAUUUACAACUGCUCGUCUCACAGGUAUCAAAAUAGACCUGGUGGAUACAUUAACUACUCGUGGCUAUGAUCGAUUACGAAUCUCAUCACGUGCUACUGAGGCUUACCUGAUUCUGGUGCACAAUCUCAUAAGUGUAAAUAUUUGCCAUUCUUGUUUUAGUUUGUAUAAUUCUUAAUUCUGGUCUGUAAAUACUUAGUUUUUUUUUUAUGCUUUUAGAAUUUGUUUUAGGUUGUAGGAUUAGACUUUAUUUUUUCUCAUAGUUUCUGUAAUUAGAAUUCAUAUUAGGAUUUUCUUUCUCUUCUUUUAUUUUUGUCUUCUAUUUCAUGCAUUGGAUAUUCUUUAAUUUCUUUUUUAGCAUUAGCAAUUGUCUUGGGUGUUUCUCAUUUUCAUGUUCUGUUUUAGUCUUUGUAAAUAUGCAUUUGCUUUAGAAUUUUUUUUCAAUAUAGGUUCUGUUUAGGUUUCUAUUUUACUUUUCAAUCUAUUUUAGGAUAAAUUCUUUUAGAUUGUUUCUGUAAAUAGAGCUAAGUGUAGGUUCCUUUUAUUUCUCUAAUUUUGCUUCUUCAUUUUAGCUCCCUAGGUUCUUUUCCAUUCAUUGCUACUGUUAGGAUUUUCUUAGGCUCUUUUUCUUUUAAAUUUGAAUUUGUUUUAGUUUGUUAGGCUCUUUUGAGGUUGCAUUCUGUCCAGUCUUAGAUUUUAUAGGUUGUAUAUAGUUUUAGGUUAUUCUGUUAGACAAUUCUAGCUUGUUUUUGAGUUCUAUUUCAUUCCUUUCUCAAUUCUUUGCUGAUUUACUCAUUUCUCAGUUUUAUUUCUCUUAAUUAGAACUGUUGAUGUAAUUCUUUGCUUUAGAUUCAAGUAGAGGUAUUCCUAGCUUUGGUUUUUGCAUCUGAGUUCAGUUUAAUUAAGCAUUUUUGCAUUUAAGAGGGUAGCAAGUCAGUUUUG